ACGCUCGACACCUACGGAAGGCAGCAGUGGGGAAUAUUGCACAAUGGGGGAAACCCUGAUGCAGCGACGCCGCGUGGAGGAAGAAGGUCUUCGGAUUGUAAACUCCUGUUGUUGGGGAAAAGAGGAUGGUACCCAACAAGGAAGUGACGGCUAACUACGUGCCAACAGCCGCGGUAAUCUGAGCGGGCUGGCAAGGC
rnacentral:rRNA from 1 species